GUGCUUCUGUAUUGACAGCCCCUGAAGUACAAUCAGAAGGACACAGAGAAGAUCUGCCUGGCCCCAGGGCAAGGAUGACAUGCAAAUGUGGGAAGCAUCCCAGGGUUUG
rnacentral:snRNA from 1 species